GAUGAACGCUGGCGGCGUGCCUAAUACAUGCAAGUCGAACGAGAGCGACCGGUGCUUGCACUGGUCAAUCUAGUGGCGAACGGGUGAGUAACACGUGGGUAACCUGCUCAUCAGAGGGGGAUAACAUCCGGAAACGGAUGCUAAAACCGCAUAGGUCUUCGAGCCGCAUGGCUUGAAGAGGAAAAGAGGCGCAAGCUUCUGCUGAUGGAUGGACCCGCGGUGCAUUAGCUAGUUGGUGAGGUAACGGCUCACCAAGGCCGUGAUGCAUAGCCGACCUGAGAGGGUGAUCGGCCACAUUGGGACUGAGACACGGCCCAAACUCCUACGGGAGGCAGCAGUAGGGAAUCUUCCGCAAUGGACGCAAGUCUGACGGAGCAACGCCGCGUGAGUGAAGAAGGUUUUCGGAUCGUAAAACUCUGUUGUUAGAGAAGAACAAGUGCUAGAGUAACUGUUAGCGCCUUGACGGUAUCUAACCAGAAAGCCACGGCUAACUACGUG
rnacentral:rRNA from 1 species